UCGUGAGACAGUUCGGUCCCUAUCCGUCGCGGGCGCAGGAAAUUUGAGAGGAGCUGUCCUUAGUACGAGAGGACCGGGAUGGACGCACCGCUGGUGUACCAGUUGUUCUGCCAAGGGCAUCGCUGGGUAGCUAUGUGCGGACGGGAUAAGUGCUGAAAGCAUCUAAGCAUGAAGCCCCCCUCAAGAUGAGAUUUCCCAUUCCGCAAGGAAGUAAGAUCCCUGAAAGAUGAUCAGGUUGAUAGGUCUGAGGUGGAAGUGUGGCGACACAUGGAGCUGACAGAUACUAAUCGAUCGAGGACUUAACCUAAA
rnacentral:rRNA from 1 species